rnacentral:rRNA from 1 species
GGGCCCGCACAAGCGGUGGAGCAUGUGGUUUAAUUCGAAGCAACGCGAAGAACCUUACCUACUCUUGACAUCCAGUGAACUUGGUAGAGAUACCUUGGUGCCUUCGGGAACACUGAGACAGGUGCUGCAUGGCUGUCGUCAGCUCGUGUUGUGAAAUGUUGGUUAAGUCCCGUAACGAGCGCAACCCUUGUCCUUAGUUACCAUCAUUAAGUUGGGGACUCUAAGGAGACUGCCGGUGACAAACCGGAGGAAGGCGGGACGACGUCAAGUCAUCAUGGCCCUUACGAGUAGGGCUACACACGUGCUACAAUGGCCGGUACAAAGGGUUGCCCAAAGCGCAAGCUGGAG